rnacentral:rRNA from 1 species
GACAGAGGGUGCAAACGUUGUUCGGAAUUACUGGGCGUAAAGCGCGUGUAGGCGGCCCUGUAAGUCGGAUGUGAAAUCCCACGGCUCAACCGUGGAAGUGCAUUCGAAACUACAGGGCUAGAGUCCUGGAGAGGAAGGUGGAAUGCUUGGUGUAGAGGUGAAAUUCGUAGAUAUCAAGCGGAACACCGGUGGCGAAGGCGGCCUUCUGGACAGUGACUGACGCUGAGACGCGAAACGUGGGGAGCAAACAGGG